rnacentral:rRNA from 1 species
UUGAACGCUGGCGGCAUGCUUUACACAUGCAAGUCGAACGGCAGCACGGGGGCAACCCUGGUGGCGAGUGGCGAACGGGUGAGUAAUGCAUCGGAACGUAUCUUCAAGUGGGGGAUAACGCAUCGAAAGGUGUGCUAAUACCGCAUAAUCUCUGAGGAGAAAAGCAGGGGAUCGCAAGACCUUGCGCUUUUGGAGCGGCCGAUGUCUGAUUAGCUAGUUGGUGAGGUAAAGGCUCACCAAGGCGUCGAUCAGUAGCUGGUCUGAGAGGACGACCAGCCACACUGGGACUGAGACACGGCCCAGACUCCUACGGGAGGCAGCAGUGGGGAAUUUUGGACAAUGGGGGCAACCCUGAUCCAGCCAUGCCGCGUGAGUGAAGAAGGCCUUCGGGUUGUAAAGCUCUUUCAGCCGGAACGAAACGGUCACGGCCAAUACUCGUGACUAAUGACGGUACCGGAAGAAGAAGCACCGGCUAACUACGU